rnacentral:rRNA from 1 species
AGGGCGCAUGGUGAAUGCCUUGGCACUAGGAGCCGAUGAAGGACGGGACUAACACCGAUAUGCUUUCGGGAGCUGUACGUAAGCUAUGAUCCGGAGAUUUCCGAAUGGGGCCAACCAGCAGUUUUUAAUCAACUGUUACCACUAGAUGAAAUUCAUAGUCUAGUUGGAGGUAAACGCUGUGAACUGAAAACAUCUCAUUAGCAGCAGGAAUAUAAAGAAAUUUCGAUUCCCUAAGUAGCGCGAGCGAACGGGGAACAGCCCAAACCAAAGUGCUUGCACUUUGGGGUUGUAGGACUGAACAUUUGAGUUACCAAAGAACUUGAUAGUCGAAAGGAUUUGGGAAAAUCCGCCAUAGAUGGUGAUAGCCCAGUAGAUUAAAUCAAAUUCUCUCAGUUCAGGAUCCUGAGUACGGCGGAACACGUGAAAUUCCGUCGGAAUCCGGGAGGACCAUCUCCCAAGGCCUAAAUACUAACCUAGUGACCGAUAGUGAACCAGUACCGUGAGGGAAAGGUGAAAAGCACCCCGGGAGGGGAGUGAAAUAGUUCCUGAAACCAUGUGCCUACAAUAAGUCAGAGCGCGUUAAUGCGUGAUGGCGUGCCUUUUGUAGAAUGAACCGGCGAGUUAUGAUCCCGUGCAAGGUUAAGACUAAAAAGUCGGAGCCGUAGCGAAAGCGAGUCUGAAAUGGGCGUUUUGAGUACGAGGUUAUAGACCCGAAACCAGGUGACCUAUCCAUGUCCAGGUUGAAGGUGCGGUAAAACGCACUGGAGGACCGAACCCGUGUAAGUUGAAAAUUGCUGGGAUGAGGUGUGGAUAGCGGUGAAAUUCCAAACGAACUUGGAGAUAGCUGGUUCUCUCCGAAAUAGCUUUAGGGCUAGCCUCGGAAUUAGGAUCAUGGAGGUAGAGCACUAUUUGGACUAGGGGCCCGUCUUGGGUUACUGAAUUCAGAUAAACUCCGAAUGCCAUUGAUUCAUAUCCGGGAGUCAGACGAUGAGUGAUAAGAUCCACCGUCGAAAGGGAACAGCCCAGACCAUCAGUUAAGGUCCCUAAAUGUAUGCUAAGUGGAAAAGGAUGUGGAGUUGCAUAGACAACUAGGAUGUUGGCUCAGAAGCAGCCACCAUUUAAAGAGUGCGUAAUAGCUCACUAGUCGAGUGAUCCUGCGCCGAAAAUGUACCGGGGCUAAGCAUACUACCGAAACCAUGGAUGCGACCAUUAGGUCGCGUGAUAGGAGAGCGUUCUAAGGGCGGUGAAGCAAGAUCGUGAGGACUUGUGGAGCGCUUAGAAGUGAGAAUGCCGGUAUGAGUAGCGAAAGAUAGGUGAGAAUCCUAUCCACCGAAUGACUAAGGUUUCCUGGGGAAGGCUCGUCCUCCCAGGGUUAGUCGGGACCUAAGUCGAGGCCGAGAGGCGUAGACGAUGGAUAACAGGUUGAGAUUCCUGUACUAGUUAAGUGCGUUUGAGCAAUGGAGGGACGCAGGAGGCUAAGAUGUGCAUUCUGUUGGAUUAGAAUGUCCAAGCAGUAAGUCUUGUGAAGAGUCAAAUGCUUUUCACUUUAAGGACAAGCUGUGAUGGGGAGCGAAAUUUAGUAGCGAAGCGUCUGAUGUCACACUGCCGAGAAAAGCUUCUAGUGAGUACUUAACUACCCGUACCGCAAACCGACACAGGUAGUCGAGGAGAGAAUCCUAAGGUGAGCGAGUGAACUCUCGUUAAGGAACUCGGCAAAAUGACCCCGUAACUUCGGGAGAAGGGGUGCUGAUCGCAAGAUCAGCCGCAGUGAAUAGGCCCAGGCGACUGUUUAUCAAAAACACAGGUCUCUGCAAAAUCGUAAGAUGACGUAUAGGGGCUGACGCCUGCCCGGUGCUGGAAGGUUAAAAGGAUGGGUUAGCUUCGGCGAAGCUCAGAAUUGAAGCCCCAGUAAACGGCGGCCGUAACUAUAACGGUCCUAAGGUAGCGAAAUUCCUUGUCGGGUAAGUUCCGACCCGCACGAAAGGCGUAACGAUCUGGGCACUGUCUCAACGAGAGACUCGGUGAAAUUAUAUUGUCCGUGAAGAUGCGGACUACCCGCGACAGGACGGAAAGACCCCAUGGAGCUUUACUGUAGCUUGAUAUUGAGUGUUUGUACAGCUUGUACAGGAUAGGUAGGAGCCAUAGAAACCGGAACGCUAGUUUCGGUGGAGGCGUUGGUGGGAUACUACCCUCGCUGUAUGACCACUCUAACCCGCACCACUAAUCGUGGUGGGAGACAGUGUCAGGUGGGCAGUUUGACUGGGGCGGUCGCCUCCUAAAAAGUAACGGAGGCGCCCAAAGGUUCCCUCAGAAUGGUUGGAAAUCAUUCGCAGAGUGUAAAGGCACAAGGGAGCUUGACUGCGAGACAGACAGGUCGAGCAGGGACGAAAGUCGGGCUUAGUGAUCCGGUGGUACCGUAUGGAAGGGCCAUCGCUCAACGGAUAAAAGCUACCCUGGGGAUAACAGGCUUAUCUCCCCCAAGAGUCCACAUCGACGGGGAGGUUUGGCACCUCGAUGUCGGCUCAUCGCAUCCUGGGGCUGUAGUCGGUCCCAAGGGUUGGGCUGUUCGCCCAUUAAAGCGGUACGCGAGCUGGGUUCAGAACGUCGUGAGACAGUUCGGUCCCUAUCCGUCGCGGGCGUAGGAAAUUUGAGAGGACCUGUCCUUAGUACGAGAGGACCGGGAUGGACAUACCUCUGGUGUACCAGUUGUGCCGCCAGGCGCAUCGCUGGGUAGCUACGUAUGGAUGUGAUAAACGCUGAAAGCAUCUAAGUGUGAAACACACCUCGAGAUGAGAUUUCCCAUUCCUUUAU